rnacentral:tRNA from 1 species
UCCCAAGUGGUUCAGUGAUAAAGCAUCUGCCUGUGAUGCAGGAGACGUGGGUUCGAUCCCUGGCUUGGGAA